rnacentral:rRNA from 1 species
UACGUAGGGUGCAAGCGUUGUCCGGAAUUAUUGGGCGUAAAGAGCUCGUAGGCGGUCUGUCGCGUCGGCUGUGAAAACCCGGGGCUCAACCCCGGGCCUGCAGUCGAUACGGGCAGACUAGAGUGCGGUAGGGGAGACUGGAAUUCCUGGUGUAGUGGUGAAAUGCGUAGAGAUCGGGAGGAACACCUGUGGCGAAGGCGGCCGGCUGGGGGUGCCCUGACGCUGAGGCGCGAAAGCGUGGGGAGCGAACCGG